UGUGUAUAGCAUUCUAUAAAGUUUAAUCAAGUGAAGUUGCUUAAUCUAUAUCCUUUAUGUUCUUUUUAUGUUCUGAGUGUUUCCUACUUUUUUAAUCAAUUACUGAAAGAGGAGGGGUGAAGUCUCCAAAUAUAGUUGUGAAUUCUUCUAUUUUUCCAUUAAGCUCUGGCACUUUCAUAUGUCUUACCUUCAUAUGUCUUACAGCUCUGUUAUUAGUUGCACACAUACUUAAGAUUAUGUCUUCUUGAUUGACUGACGUAUUUAUAAUUAUAAAAUGCCCCUCUUCUAAUAAUCCUCUCCAUCUUGAAAUCUACUUUGUCUGAUGUUAAUAGAGUGGAGCCAGCUUUUUUAUGAUUAGUGUUUGCAUGAUGAAUUUUUUCUGUACUUUUCCUUUCAAUCUGCUGAUGUAUUUAUAGGUAAAGUGACUCUCUUGUGAACAGCAUAUAACUGGGUCUUUAUUUUUUCAAUAUGACCAUCUUUGCUCUUUAAUUUGAGUAUUUCUUGCAUUUGCAUAUAAUGUCAUUACUGACAUGAUUGGAUUAAAUCUGUUAUCUCACUAUCUAUUUUUAUGUGUUCUCUACUCAUUUUUUCUUUUCUGGCAUUAUUUUAUGUUAACUAAAAUGCUUGUAUUCCAUUUUUUCUCUUCUAAUAGCUUACUAUGCUUAUUUGUUUGCUUGUAUCCAUACCGAGGGGUUAUUCUGGGGUUUAUAACCGUUUAACUCAUCCAGACAAUGUUCAAAUAAUAUUAUGUCUUUCUGGUACAAGUAAGGAGGCCACAUCUCCCUGUCCAGUGGGCCUCCAGGAGCUCAGGCAAUCCUCCAGUGCACCAAGUGCUGGAAAUGGGCUUAGCAGCUUCUUCCAGUUCUUCUCCUUAGAGGCAGGAGCUCACAGGAGAGCCCUUCAGCUCCUGCUGCUUGAGAAGAACAGCAGACAGAGACAGACACAUUGCUGAGUUGUCUCCAAAGCACAAAAGGUUCUCAGGCACAACACAUUACAUAAACAGAAAAUGUUACCGUGUUCUCCCUGUGGCCAACUCUUGGUUUGCAGAAAAGGUGAAGGAUAAAACAUACUUGCAGAUCUUAAGUCUCAAAAAAGUGUGUGACAAAAAGAGGAAAGAGGGACCAUUAUUUGAAAAUUAGAUUAUGCUCUAUUGUCUCCAAAGGUUGUAGGCCACACUCAGAAAAAAGAGACCAAGGAGAGAUGCUCUAGGGUAAAACACAGGCCUCUCUGUUUCAGCUAUUUUCUCCAAUGUCCAGUAACAACACAACCCUAGUGUGUGAAUUUGUUUUAGUUCUUUGAGCUGCUGCUUCUGCCAAGAAACUCCUUGCGGCCUCUUUGUCCUGCUUGUUGUUCCAAUGGCCAUUUCCACAUAAAGAAUUGAGAGCCCAUCCCUGGAUGUUUAUUAUUGUCAAACUCUUUCAUGUCCUUCUGAGCUGUGAUGCAUGUGUGCAGGACAGACACAGGAGAUGGCUGUUCUAGCCCAAGAAAAGCCUUAGCACAAAGGCCUUGGACCUGCAACUUUGUAGUAAAGCUCACCACGUCCCUUUCUUCACCCCCUUUUUCUCAUUUCACUGAGUUUCUUUUUCACGGACUGUUUAGAACCAGUCAUGUGACACAGGAUGGAUGUUACAAAGUUAGGGACAAAAGAUGGAGCUGGGAAAUAGGACCAAAGAGAAGUCAGAUAAUCACAUGACCUGACAACACAGAGCUGACUGGUUUGCACCGUGGCUAGAUGGCUGUCUGGAUCCAUUCAGGUUGCUAUACCAACAUUCCAUGGAUGGACUGGGUGGCUUAGGAAACACAGACUUUUAUUUCUUACAGUUACAGAGGCUCGAAGUCCAAGGUUAGGGGGCCAGCAUGUUCAGGUGAGGGCUUUCCUCCAAGUCGCACACUUCCUGUAUCCUCACGGGGCAGAAGGGUGAGAGAAGCUUCUUUUAUAAGGCACUAAUCUCGUUAAUCAUCUCCCAAACCUCCUAAUACCCCACUUCCCAAUACCAUCACCUUGAGCAUUAGAUUUUCAACAUAUGAGUUUGGGGAGAACACAAACAUUCAGACCAUAGCAGUAGCAAUCACUUAAAAAUGGGCUAUUUCGCUACACACAUUACACACACACACACACAAAGUACCAGAAUUUAGAAUCAUCUGACUUAAAGCCAAGUCUCAGAUUUACCACUUAUCAGUUCUGAACAAGUCUUUUCAAAUCCCAAACUGCAAUUUCUUCAUCCAUAAAUAGGGAUAACAAUGACACCUGACCCACUCAUCCCCCAAGGAUAUUGCAAGAAUGACAUUAUGUGGGAAAAAAGUUGCUGUUGUAUGCCAUCAUGUUUUUUUCACUACUAAUCACAAAGGACUUUUAACUGAAGACUUUCUCUUAUUCAUUCAUUCAACAACCAUUUAUCACUCAGUACUGGCCUACCAUGUGCUAGACAUUCCCACUUCUCCUUUACAAUUAUCUUUUUAGUUAUCCAGAUUCCAUCCAGGGUGAUUUCUUACUUGUAAAUGAGGAUUUUAUUGCUUCUAUAUCUUGUACAUAAUUUUGUAUAUAAACUUUUAUAUAACAAAAUGAUAUAUAGAAAUUACACACACGCAGAAAUAGAAGACCAUGUCAACAUUACUGAGAAAGGUGCCAAUCAAUCCAAGAUAAAAAUUUAAAUUUUGUGAGAAUAACAAUGACUUACCCAGAAAAAUACUGGGCUGAAGUAUUUUAGAAAAAGUAAUCUCAUAGUUGUUUCUAACAAUGUCACAAUUUGUGCCCUGAAAAGGAAAAAAAUAUUUCUGAAACCUUUAUCAUUAUCAUCUUAUCAGAGCUUCCAAACCAGCAUAAUCCAUUGUCUUCCUGACCUUCCACAUUCUGAAAUACUUCACAGUUUAAGGAUCUUGAUCCUCUGAAUGUUUUAUCUUGCUACUCUUGUCAGUUUUCUCCGUCACAAGAUGGUCUGUUGUACUAAGUCAGUAUCUAAACCCAAGAAGAUGAAAACGAUAGGCCAGAACCAGGACUAAAGCUCUGUGUUUCUGCUCUGCUUUCUCCUGAGCUUUACUUUAUUUCUGUCAUUUAAAAGACCUGUGGGUACCUUGCCGAAAAUGCUUCAU
rnacentral:lncRNA from 1 species